rnacentral:rRNA from 1 species
AGACCCGAAACCCGGUGAUCUAGCCAUGGGCAGGUUGAAGGUUGGGUAACACUAACUGGAGGACCGAACCGACUAAUGUUGAAAAAUUAGCGGAUGACCUGUGGCUGGGGGUGAAAGGCCAAUCAAACCGGGAGAUAGCUGGUUCUCCCCGAAAGCUAUUUAGGUAGCGCCUCGUGAAUUCAUCUCCGGGGGUAGAGCACUGUUUCGGCUAGGGGGCCAUCCCGGCUUACCAACCCGAUGCAAACUGCGAAUACCGGAGAAUGUUAUCACGGGAGACACACGGCGGGUGCUAACGUCCGUCGUGAAGAGGGAAACAACCCAGACCGCCAGCUAAGGUCCCAAAGUCAUGGUUAAGUGGGAAACGAUGUGGGAAGGCCCAGACAGCCAGGAUGUUGGCUUAGAAGCAGCCAUCAUUUAAAGAAAGCGUAAUAGCUCACUGGUCGAGUCGGCCUGCGCGGAAGAUGUAACGGGGCUAAACCAUGCACCGAAGCUGCGGCAGCGACACUCAGGUGUUGUUGGGUAGGGGAGCGUUCUGUAAGCCUGCGAAGGUGGCCUGUGAGGGUUGCUGGAGGUAUCAGAAGUGCGAAUGCUGACAUAAGUAACGAUAAAGCGGGUGAAAAGCCCGCUCGCCGGAAGACCAAGGGUUCCUGUCCAACGUUAAUCGGGGCAGGGUGAGUCGACCCCUAAGGCGAGGCCGAAAGGCGUAGUCGAUGGGAAACGGGUUAAUAUUCCCGUACUUGGUGUUACUGCGAAGGGGGGACGGAGAAGGCUAUGUUGGCCGGGCGACGGUUGUCCCGGUUUAAGCGUGUAGGUGUGUGUUCCAGGUAAAUCCGGUUCACUUUAACACUGAGGCGUGAUGACGAGGCACUACGGUGCUGAAGCAACAAAUGCCCUGCUUCCAGGAAAAGCCUCUAAGCAUCAGGUAACAUCAAAUCGUACCCCAAACCGACACAGGUGGUCAGGUAGAGAAUACCAAGGCGCUUGAGAGAACUCGGGUGAAGGAACUAGGCAAAAUGGUGCCGUAACUUCGGGAGAAGGCACGCUGACACGUAGGUGAAGUGAUUUACUCAUGGAGCUGAAAUCAGUCGAAGAUACCAGCUGGCUGCAACUGUUUAUUAAAAACACAGCACUGUGCAAACACGAAAGUGGACGUAUACGGUGUGACGCCUGCCCGGUGCCGGAAGGUUAAUUGAUGGGGUCAGCGCAAGCGAAGCUCCUGAUCGAAGCCCCGGUAAACGGCGGCCGUAACUAUAACGGUCCUAAGGUAGCGAAAUUCCUUGUCGGGUAAGUUCCGACCUGCACGAAUGGCGUAAUGAUGGCCAGGCUGUCUCCACCCGAGACUCAGUGAAAUUGAACUCGCUGUGAAGAUGCAGUGUACCCGCGGCAAGACGGAAAGACCCCGUGAACCUUUACUAUAGCUUGACACUGAACAUUGAGCCUUGAUGUGUAGGAUAGGUGGGAGGCUUUGAAGCGUGGACGCCAGUCUGCGUGGAGCCGACCUUGAAAUACCACCCUUUAAUGUUU